AACGAACGCUGGCGGCGCGCCUAAUACAUGCAAGUCGAACGAGAAGCUGUAGCAAUACAGUUGUACAGUGGCGAACGGGUGAGGAAUACAUGGGUGACCUACCCUCGAGUGGGAAUAACCAGCCGAAAGGUUGGCUAAUACCGCGUACGCUUCCCAGUCUACGGGUUGGGAAGGAAAGCGAUGCCGUGGGUAUCGCGCUCAA
rnacentral:rRNA from 1 species